UACGUAGGUGGCAAGCGUUGUCCGGAUUUAUUGGGUUUAAAGGGUGCGUAGGCGGCCCCAUAAGUCAGUGCUGAAAUACUCUAGCUCAACUAGAGGGAUGGCAUUGAUACUGCGGGGCUUGAGUGGAGUCGAGGUAGGCGGAAUUGACGGUGUAGCGGUGAAAUGCUUAGAUAUCGUCAAGAACACCGAUAGUGUAGACAGCUUACUAGGCUUCAACUGACGCUGAGGCACGAAAGUGUGGGGAUCAAACAGG
rnacentral:rRNA from 1 species